AUUGAACGCUGGCGGCAGGCCUAACACAUGCAAGUCGAGCGGAGCGGCGGACGGGUGAGUAAUGACUAGGAAUCUGCCUGGUCGUGGGGGAUAACGUCCGGAAACGGGCGCUAAUACCGCAUACUAUCAGAUGAGCCUAGGUCGAGUUCGCUAGUUGGGGGGGUAAAGGCCUACCAGGGCGACGAUCCGUAACUGGUCUGAGAGGAUGAUCAGUCACACGGGAAGUGAGACACGGUCCAGACGCCUACGGGAGGCAGCGGGGGGGAAUAUUGGACAAGGGGCGAAAGCCUGAGCCAGCCAUGCCGGGUGUGUGAAGAAGGUCUUCGGAUUGUAAAGCACUUUAAGUUGGGAGGCGUUACCAACAGAAUAAGCACCGGCUAACUCCGUGCCAGCAGCCGCGUAAUUC
rnacentral:rRNA from 1 species